GGGCACGUAGCGUAGUGGCAACGCGUUUGCUUCAUAUGCAGAUGGUCAUGGGCUCGAACCCAGCCCCG
rnacentral:tRNA from 1 species